UACGUAGGGUGCGAGCGUUAAUCGGAAUUACUGGGCGUAAAGCGUGCGCAGGCGGCGCGUUAAGACCGAUGUGAAAUCCCCGGGCUUAACCUGGGAACUGCAUUGGUGACUGGCAGGCUUUGAGUGUGGCAGAGGGAGGUAGAAUUCCACGUGUAGCAGUGAAAUGCGUAGAGAUGUGGAGGAAUACCGAUGGCGAAGGCAGCCUCCUGGGCCAACACUGACGCUCAUGCACGAAAGCGUGGGGAGCAAACAGG
rnacentral:rRNA from 1 species